rnacentral:rRNA from 1 species
GCUUGUCUCAAAGAUUAAGCCAUGCAUGUCUAAGUAUAAACGACUUUAUACUGUGAAACUGCGAAUGGCUCAUUAUAUCAGUUAUAGUUUAUUUGAUGGUCCUUGCUACUUGGAUAACCGUAGUAAUUCUAGAGCUAAUACAUGCACAAAGGCCCGACUCACGAAGGGCUGUAUUUAUUAGAUUUAAAGCCGACAUCUUUUGGUGAUUCAUAAUAACUUUUCGAACCUCAUGCCUUUAUGGUGGAGGUGAUUCAUUCAAAUUUCUGCCCUAUCAACUUUCGAUGGUAGGAUAGAGGCCUACUGUGGUGAUAACGGGUAACGAAGAAUAAGGGUUCGAUUUCGGAGAGGGAGCCUGAGAAACGGCUACCACAUCCAAGGAAGGCAGCAGG